rnacentral:rRNA from 1 species
GAAUCUUGCGCAAUGGGCGAAAGCCUGACGCAGCAACGCCGCGUGAGCGAAGAAGGCCUUCGGGUUGUAAAGCUCUGUCAGGGGGAAAGAAGGCACCUGGGUUAAUAGCCCAAGGGCUGACGGUACCUCCAAAGGAAGCCACGGCUAACUACGUGCCAGCAGCCGCGGUAAUACGUAGGUGGCAAGCGUUGUCCGGAAUCAUUGGGCGUAAAGAGCGCGUAGGUGGCUUGUCAGGUCUGAUGUGAAAACCUGGGGCUCAACUCCAGGCCUGCAUCGGAAACCGGCUUGCUAGAGUCUGGGAGAGGAGAGUGGAAUUCCUGGUGUAGCGGUGAAAUGCGUAGAUAUCAGGAGGAACACCGGUAGCGAAGGCGGCUCUCUGGAACAGUACUGACGCUGAGGCGCGAAAGCUAGGGGAGCGAACAG